AGAGUUUGAUCCUGGCUCAGAACGAACGCUGGCGGCGUGGAUAAGACAUGCAAGUCGAACGAGACAAAGUUUGUAGUAAUACAAAUUUUGUUUAGUGGCGCACGGGUGCGUAACACGUGAGUAAUCUGCCGGGAAGUGGGGGAUAGCUCGCCGAAAGGCGAAUUAAUACCGCAUAUGGCUAGGAGUAACAUUUCUCCGACGCCAAAGUAGCAAUACGCUUCCUGAUGAACUCGCGGCCUAUCAGCUAGAUGGCGGGGUAACGGCCCACCAUGGCUAUGACGGGUAGCUGGUCUGAGAGGACGACCAG
rnacentral:rRNA from 1 species